rnacentral:rRNA from 1 species
GUAUAAGUGUCUUGGAACAGACUAUCAAAGAGGGUCACAAUCCCGUACUUUACACAAUCAUCAGUGCUCUGUGAUACGUUCUCUACGAGUCGAGUUGUUUGGGAAUGCAGCUCAAAAUGGGUGGUAAAUUCCAUCUAAAGCUAAAUAUUGGCGAGAGACCGAUAGCGAACAAGUACCGUGAGGGAAAGAUGAAAAGCACUUUGGAAAGAGAGUUAAACAGUACGUGAAAUUGUUAAAAGGGAAACGAUUGAAGUCAGUCGUGUUUAUUGGAUUCAGCCGGUCUUCGGUGUACUUCCUUUAAACGGGUCAACAUCAGUUUUGUCCGGUGGAUAAAGGCAGUAGGAAUGUUUCUCCCUCGGGAGU